AAAGAAAUCAAAGCCAUAGAGGCAGUGCUGAGAAUAAUGUGGGAAGGUUAAAGAGAGGCUGUGGCUAUGAUAAAGCGUAAGGGAUAAGACUGAGACCGAAUAUGGUGCCUCAGAUGGGCAAACAGUUAAUGACUAACAACAAUACCAAGAACUGAAAACACUGACAAGAAUUUACCUUUAGAUAGUUAAUAAACUGUAAAAGGGAUGUAUAAAAC
rnacentral:lncRNA from 1 species